GAUGAGCGCUGGCGGCGUGCCUAAUACAUGCAAGUCGAGCGAACAGACGAGGAGCUUGCUCCUCUGACGUUAGCGGCGGACGGGUGAGUAACACGUGGAUAACCUACCUAUAAGACUGGGAUAACUUCGGGAAGCCGGAGCUAAUACCGGAUAAUAUAUUGAACCGCAUGGGUCAAUAGUGAAAGACGGUUUUGCUGUCACUUAUAGAUGGAUCCGCGCCGCAUUAGCUAGUUGGUAAGGUAACGGCUUACCAAGGCAACGAUGCGUAGCCGACCUGAGAGGGUGAUCGGCCACACUGGAACUGAGACACGGUCCAGACUCCUACGGGAGGCAGCAGUAGGGAAUCUUCCGCAAUGGGCGAAAGCCUGACGGAGCAACGCCGCGUGAGUGAUGAAGGUCUUCGGAUCGUAAAACUCUGUUAUUAGGGAAGAACAAAUGUGUAAGUAACUAUGCACGUCUUGACGGUACCUAAUCAGAAAGCCACGGCUAACUACGUG
rnacentral:rRNA from 1 species